CGGCUCGACUCGGCUCGGCUCGGCCCUGCCCCGGCCCCGCGCGGCCGAUGGGCGGGGAGCGGCGGCCGCCAUGG
rnacentral:miRNA from 1 species